CACCGCCCCGUCACACCAUGGGAGUUGGCUUUACCUGAAGACGGUGCGCUAACCAGCAAUGGAGGCAGCCGGCCACGGUAGGGUCAGCGACUGGGGUG
rnacentral:rRNA from 1 species